rnacentral:rRNA from 1 species
CCCUUAGACGUUCUGGGCCGCACGCGCGCUACACUGACACAGGCAACGAGCUUUCCUUUACCGAAAGGUAUGGGUAAUCUUUUGAAACUGUGUCGUGCUGGGGAUAGAUCCUUGCAAUUUUUGAUCUUAAACGAGGAAUUCCUAGUAAGCGCGAGUCAUCAACUCGCGUUGAUUACGUCCCUGCCCUUUGUACACACCGCCCGUCGCUACUACCGAUUGAAUGGCUUAGUGAGGCCUCAGGAUCCGCGCUUAAUGUGUGGAGAAUUUGGAUAAACUACGUCAUUUAGAGGAAGUAAAAGUCGUAACA